rnacentral:rRNA from 1 species
UCCCGGCACGGGGAGGUAGUGACGAAAAAUAACAAUACGGGACUCUACCGAGGCCUCGUAAUUGGAAUGAGUACAAUUUAAAAUCAUUAAUGAGGAUCUAUUGGAGGGCAAGUCUGGUGCCAGCAGCCGCGGUAAUUCCAGCUCCAAUAGCGUAUAUUAAAGUUGUUGCGGUUAAAAAGCUCGUAGUUGGAUCUCAGUUCUGGGUGAGCACGGGUCCGCCAUAACAUUGGUGGACUGCUGACUUGCCCGGUGCAAAAUCGCCCGGCUUCCCCCACGGUGCUCUUCACCGAGUGUCGUGGGUGGCCGACACGUUUACUUUGAGAAAACCAGAGUGCUUAAAGCAGGCGCAAGACGCCCGAAUGACUGUGCAUGGAAUAAUGGAAGAGGAUCUCGCUUCUGUCUUUGUUGGUUCCUCGGAAGGCGAGAUAAUGAUUAAUAGAAGCAGUCGGGGGCAUUCGUAUUGCGACGUUAGAGGUGAAAUUCUUGGAUCGUCGCACGACGAACUACUGCGAAAGCAUUUGCCAAGAAUGUUUUCGUUAAUCAAGAACGAAAGUCAGAGGUUCGAAGGCGAUCAGAUACCGCCCUAGUUCUGACCAUAAACGAUGCCAACUGGCGAUCUGCCCUAGUUACUCGCACGACUGGGCAGGCAGCCUCCGGGAAACCAAAGUCUUUGGGUUCCGGGGGAAGUAUGGUUGCAAAGCUGAAACUUAAAGGAAUUGACGGAAGGGCACCACCAGGAGUGGAGCCUGCGGCUUAAUUUGACUCAACACGGGAAACCUCACCAGGCCCGGACACCAAAAGGAUUGACAGAUUGAGAGCUCUUUCUUGAUUUGGUGGGUGGUGGUGCAUGGCCGUUCUUAGUUGGUGGAGCGAUUUGUCUGGUUAAUUCCGAUAACGAACGAGACUCUAGCCUGCUAACUAGCCGGUGGAUCAAUAAAUUCAUAUGCGGCGAAGCGGUGUUGUUAUUCUUCGGAGUGCAUCCUGCAUAGUCGCGUCCACCGAGUCUUCUUAGAGGGACAGGCGGCGUUUAGCCGCACGAGACGGAGCAAUAACAGGU